rnacentral:rRNA from 1 species
UACGUAGGGUGCGAGCGUUAAUCGGAAUUACUGGGCGUAAAGCGUGCGCAGGCGGCUUGCCAAGUCAGAUGUGAAAGCCCCGGGCUCAACCCGGGAAUGGCGUUUGAAACUGGCAGACUAGAGUUUGGCAGAGGGGGGUGGAAUUCCACGUGUAGCAGUGAAAUGCGUAGAGAUGUGGAGGAACACGGAUGGCGAAGGCAGCCCCCUGGGCCAAAACUGACGCUCAGGCACGAAAGCGUGGGGAGCAAACAGG